rnacentral:rRNA from 1 species
CCUAAAUACUAAUACCAGAUCGAUAGUGCACAAGUACCGUGAGGGAAAGGUGAAAAGAACUGAGGUGAUCAGAGUGAAAUAGAACCUGAAACCAUUUGCUUACAAUCAUUCAGAGCCCUAUGUAGCAAUACAGGGUGAUGGACUGCCUUUUGCAUAAUGAGCCUGCGAGUUGUGGUGUCUGGCAAGGUUAAGCAAACGCGAAGCCGUAGCGAAAGCGAGUCUGAAUAGGGCGCUUAGUCAGAUGCUGCAGACCCGAAACGAAGUGAUCUAUCCAUGAGCAAGUUGAAGCUAGUGUAAGAACUAGUGGAGGACUGAACCCAUAGGCGUUGAAAAGCCCCGGGAUGACUUGUGGAUAGGGGUGAAAGGCCAAUCAAACUUCGUGAUAGCUGGUUCUCUCCGAAAUAUAUUUAGGUAUAGCGUUGUGUCGUAAUAUAAGGGGGUAGAGCACUGAAUGGGCUAGGGCAUACACCAAUGUACCAAACCCUAUCAAACUCCGAAUACCUUAUAUGUAAUCACAGCAGUCAGGCGGCGAGUGAUAAAAUCCGUCGUCAAGAGGGAAACAACCCAGACUACCAGCUAAGGUCCCUAAAUCUUACUUAAGUGGAAAACGAUGUGAAGUUACUUAAACAACCAGGAGGUUGGCUUAGAAGCAGCCAUCCUUUAAAGAAAGCGUAAUAGCUCACUGGUCUAGUGAUUUUGCGCGGAAAAUAUAACGGGGCUAAAGU